AUAUCAAUAAGCGGAGGAAAAGAAAAUAACAAUGAUGUCCCUAGUAACGGCGAGUGAAAAGGACAUAGCCCAACUUGAAAAUCUCCCUUUGGAGAAUUGUAGUCUAGAGAAGCGCCCUCUGUGGCGGCCGGAGCCCAAGUCCACUGGAAAGUGGCGUCAGAGAGGGUGAGAACCCCGUCGGCUCUCGGCUUAGCUGCUCCACGAGGUGCUUUCCACGAGUCGGGUUGUUUGGGAAUGCAGCCCUAAAUUGGAGGUAAAUCCCUUCUAAGGCUAAAUAACGGCGAGAGACCGAUAGCGCACAAGUA
rnacentral:rRNA from 1 species